rnacentral:rRNA from 1 species
UACAGAGGCCUCGAGCGUUAGGCGGAAUCACUGGGCUUAAAGCGCGUGUAGGCGGAUCGUUAAGUGUCUUGUGAAAUCCCACGGCUCAACCGUGGAACUGCUGGGCAUACUGGCGAUCUUGGGCCACUCAGGGGCGACCGGAACAAGCGGUGGAGCGGUGAAAUGCGUAGAUAUCGCUUGGAACGCCAAAGGUGAAGACAGGUCGCUGGGGGUGUGCCGACGCUGGAGACGCGAAAGCCAGGGGAGCAAACGGG